rnacentral:rRNA from 1 species
CGAAAGCCUGACGGAGCAACGCCGCGUGAGGGAUGGAGGCCUAUGGGCCGUAAACCUCUUUUCUCAAGGAAGAAGAUCUGACGGUACUUGAGGAAUAAGCCACGGCUAAUUCCGUGCCAGCAGCCGCGGUAAUACGGGAGUGGCAAGCGUUAUCCGGAAUUAUUGGGCGUAAAGCGUCCGCAGGCGGCCGUUUAAGUCUGUUGUUAAAUCGUGGAGCUCAACUCCAUCACGGCAAUGGAAACUGUUCGGCUUGAGUAUGGUAGGGGCAGAGGGAAUUUCCGGUGUAGCGGUGAAAUGCGUAGAUAUCGGGAAGAACACCAGUGGCGAAAGCGCUCUGCUGGGCCAUUACUGACGCUCAUGGACGAAAGCCAGGGGAGCGAAAGGGAUUAGAUACCCCUGUAGUCCUGGCCGUAAACGAUGAACACUAGAUGUUGGGGGAAUCGACCCCCUCGGUGUCGUAGCUAACGCGUUAAGUGUUCCGCCUGGGGAGUACGCACGCAAGUGUGAAACUCAAAGGAAUUGACGGGGGCCCGCACAAGCGGUGGAGUAUGUGGUUUAAUUCGAUGCAACGCGAAGAACCUUACCAAGGCUUGACAUCCUGCGAAUCUCUAAGAAAUUAGAGAGUGCCUUCGGGAACGCAGUGACAGGUGGUGCAUGGCUGUCGUCAGCUCGUGUCGUGAGAUGUUGGGUUAAGUCCCGCAACGAGCGCAACCCACGUUUUUAGUUGCCAGCAUUCAGUUGGGCACUCUAGAAAGACUGCCGGUGACAAACCGGAGGAAGGUGUGGACGACGUCAAGUCAUCAUACCCCUUACGCCUUGGGCUACACACGUACUACAAUGCUGCGGACAAAGAGUAGCGAUCUUGCGAAAGUUAGCUAAUCUCAUAAACCGUGGCUCAGUUCAGAUCGUAGGCUGCAACUCGCCUACGUGAAGGAGGAAUCGCUAGUAAUCGCAGGUCAGCAUACUGCGGUGAAUACGUUCCCGGGCCUUGUACACACCGCCCGUCACACCAUGGAAGUUGGCCAUGCCCGAAGUCGUUACUCUAACCUUUUGGAAGAGGGCGCCGAAGGCAGGGCUAAUGACUGGGGUGAAGUCGUAACAAGGUAGCCGUAGCGGAAGCUGCGGCUGAAUCACCUCCUAA